CCAUGAACUUGUACUGUAUCCAAACGACAUGCUGUCAUCAAUAGCCAAGAAACUUAAUUCUGAAGCUGCUGCUUUUUUUUUUUUUGUGUUAGAGUCUUAAACUUACUUUGUCUUCAUUUUAAAAGAUUGAAUCAUGUUUCACUGAAAUAACGUAUUGCAUUCUGGGGGAAGGAGAGAUCCCUCCAGAUCUCCAUAAAUGUAUUUUUUGCAAGCCAUAUAUGUUUGAAGCACUCUUUUAAUCUGUAUAAUAAUUGUCAGUGAGAAAUGUUGAUCCUGUAAUUAUGAAGUAAGUAUUACCGUUCACCUACUUAAUCAAAUUUCUGAGCUAGCUGUUAAUCAUCUGGAUUCCACCUCGGGAUGUGUCGCUUCCACCCCCUCAUCCAAUGUGACUUUUGCAUAUGCUCAUGUUACAUGUUUGUCAUUAAGAUUUAAGGUAGCUUAAGCUGUUUUAUGAGGCUCAUAACUGUAAAGUUUCUAGUCUUUUCAAAGCAGUUAUCUUUUGGUCACUCAGUUUUGGUGAGAUGCUUGCUUACCUUCAUGGGGGUGUGUUGAUAUUACGUAAGUAAAUAAAUGGGUGUGUAAGUCACCUUUUUUAAUACAGCUGAGGGGGAAGUCAAACCAGAAAAGUCACCGUAUAAUGAGAUCCCUGCGUCUCAGUACUUGUCCCACUGCAGUUCAGCUUCAGCCUCUGAGCUUGCAGCUGAUUCUAAAUGAGUGUGCUCUUAAACAGUGGUUUCAAUGGUACAGUUGAAUGCCUGUGGUCCAUGAAAUGCAUUUGAUUAAAAUUGCAUGCCAGGUGACAUCAAUUGAAAGGAAUAAAGCAGACUUAUAAUUGCAAGGUAGAAGAUAGUUUUAGGAGAGUAGAACUAAGAUGAUAGCUCUGUCUGCAACAAACAAGAUUAACUUAUCCCUUAUGUUUCCUUGGUCACAGGCUACGAACUAGAUCUGCUAUGAUCCUCUGCCAAAGCAUGAGGCACAGAGAGAAUCAGGAAAGGAAAGGCAGAGCAGAAGACAGACCACACAGAAAUGAGGAGUGCACUAGUCAUCUGUUAAGCCCUUGGUUCCCCACUGGAUGGCAGUCCCUGCCGCGCUAUUCGCUCUGGGAAGGAAAGGCUGGUUUCAAAAGCAGCACACGGAAAUCUCAUCCUGCUUUGGACAUGAAUAUGUACAUGAAAUAUUACAGUGUUACACCCUUUUGAAGUGAUGUACGUACUCUGCAACUUUCUGGAAAUAGCCCACAGGUGGAAUUACUUGGCCUCCACAGCUCUGCAUGGAUUCAGCUAUGAAGGCAGCAAUCUACAAAAAACAAACUCAGAAGCGAUUUGCCUGAACGCGGCGUUCCUUCGUGGUUACCCGUGAUAACCAUCUCACUGGACAUCAAAGCCCACAAGAAAAAGAGGGGACCAUUUCCUGGGGAAGAAGGUCAGGACUCACGUCUCAAGGCGUUGGGUUUCAACACAGAAGCUGCUGGUGGAGCACCCUCGGCUUUGCCUUCUCCCUGCCACGGAUACAGCUUUCUCCUCGCCUGGAGGCUGCUCCUUGAGUGAAAAACCAGCACCCACGUUCCCUGUCACCCCAUCUGCAGCUCAUCUGUGCCACCUGCAGCGCUGCGCCUGGAAGAGUUCUCAGAGAGC